UGGACCUCUCCCAGCGGCUGGCUCCUAGGCAUCCUCUCCUCCAGGUGCCCCGCUGUGACCUACGGAGCUGCAGACAGACGCCAAGACAGGUGUACCAUGAACAUCUCUUCCAUGCACGUGGGUGAAAAUCCCCUACUGAAACACAGAGAGCACUGUAGUUGGAUCAAAAGCCUGCUGGUAACGAGAGUGACACCUAAAGCAAAGUAUCAGCUUAAGGUUAAAGCACAUAGCCUGGCAAAUGCCUGCCAGGGAAAGCAGGGUCAGCGAUAUUCUCAUCAGAGGAGUCAGAAUUGAAGGCCAAAGGCAUUAAAGAUAUGGGAUAUCAUCUCUUCCUGAGCCCUUGACAUAUCUGCACAUUCUCUCAUCAUCUCCUCACUGCCCAGAUGCCUUUCCUUUGUGACAGCUGAUCACAGGGAGGGUACCUGACUUUGCCAAGAGCGCUCCACACGGAGCCCCAUAGCCCGCUUUCAAGACCAGCUCCGUCUGACUCCAGAGCCCCGGUGGUGGUGCCCGCCAGGAAGCUGUGCUGCCUCCUUGAGUAGCAGCUAUGUCCUGAGCCUCUGCUCUUCUCAGUCCAUGUGUUCUCGCUCCCUGGCUGAUCUCUGUUCAUUUCCCUCUAAACACAGAUGAUUUCCAAAUCUACAUAUCCAGGUUAUUCCCUCCCUUGAGUCUCAGACCCAUUUUUGCUUUCCCACCAGCAGUAUAGGAGAGUGCUUAUUUCCCCACACCCUUUCCAACAUAGUGUGUGACAUACUUUCUAUUUUUCACUAAUAUGAUAGGUGAGAAGUAUUAUAUCAAUGGCAUUUUAUUUUGCAUUUCUGUUUAACAACAGUUUAAAUAUCAUUGUGAAUUGUCUGUUCAUGUCUUUUCCACAUUUUUCUAUUGGGUUGUUGGUCCUUCACACUUUUCAAGUGUUCUUUACACAUUAACUAUAUUAGGCCUUUAUCUGUUAUAUAAGUUGCAAAUAUUUGCUUCCAGUUUGUUAGUUGCCUUUUGACUUUAUGAUGUAUUUCUGCCAUGCAUUAA